AACGAACGCUGGCGGCAUGCCUAACACAUGCGAGUCGAACGAAGCCUUCGGGCUUAGUGGCGCACGGGUGCGUAACGCGUGGGAAUCUGCCCUUUGGUUCGGAAUAACAGUUGGAAACGACUGCUAAUACCGGAUGAUGACGAAAGUCCAAAGAUUUAUCGCCAGAGGAUGAGCCCGCGUAGGAUUAGCUAGUUGGUGCGGUAAAGGCGCACCAAGGCGACGAUCCUUAGCUGGUCUGAGAGGAUGAUCAGCCACACUGGGACUGAGACACGGCCCAGACUCCUACGGGAGGCAGCAGUGGGGAAUAUUGGACAAUGGGCGAAAGCCUGAUCCAGCAAUGCCGCAUGAGUGACGAAGGCCCUAGGGUUGUAAAGCUCUUUUACCCGGGAUGAUAAUGACAGUACCGGGAGAAUAAGCCCCGGCUAACUCCGUGCCAGCAGCCGCCGUAA
rnacentral:rRNA from 1 species